GGCCGUGUGGCGAAAUGGCAUCGCGUCUGACUACGAUAUAUUGCAGCCACCCAGAAUUGGAAUCAGGAGAUUGCAGGUUCGACCCCUGUCUCGGUCA
rnacentral:tRNA from 1 species